UACGUAGGGUGCAAGCGUUGUCCGGAAUUACUGGGCGUAAAGAGUUCGUAGGCGGCUUGUCGCGUCGAAUGUGAAAACUCGGGGCUCAACCCCGCGCUUGCAUUCGAUACGGGCAGGCUCGAGUUCGGUAGGGGAGACUGGAAUUCCUGGUGUAGCGGUGAAAUGCGCAGAUAUCAGGAGGAACACCGGUGGCGAAGGCGGUUCUCUGGGAAUGACCUGACGCUGAGGAGCGAAAGUGUGGGGAGCGAACAGG
rnacentral:rRNA from 1 species